rnacentral:rRNA from 1 species
CAGGAUGAACGCUGGCGGCGUGCCUAAUACAUGCAAGUCGAGCGAAUGAUGAGGAGCUUGCUCCUCUGAUUUAGCGGCGGACGGGUGAGUAACACGUGGGUAAUCUGCCUGUAAGACGGGGAUAACUCCGGGAAACCGGGGCUAAUACCGGAUAAUAAGAAGAAACGCAUGUUUCUUUUUUGAAAGUCGGUUUCGGCUGACACUUACAGAUGAGCCCGCGGCGCAUUAGCUAGUUGGUGAGGUAACGGCUCACCAAGGCGACGAUGCGUAGCCGACCUGAGAGGGUGAUCGGCCACACUGGGACUGAGACACGGCCCAGACUCCUACGGGAGGCAGCAGUAGGGAAUCUUCGGCAAUGGGCGAAAGCCUGACCGAGCAACGCCGCGUGAGCGAUGAAGGCCUUCGGGUCGUAAAGCUCUGUUGUUAGAGAAGAACAAGUACGAGAGUAACUGCUCGUACCUUGACGGUACCUAACCAGAAAGCCACGGCUAACUACGUGCCAGCAGCCGCGGUAAUACGUAGGUGGCAAGCGUUAUCCGGAAUUAUUGGGCGUAAAGCGCGCGCAGGCGGUCUCUUAAGUCUGAUGUGAAAGCCCACGGCUCAACCGUGGAGGGUCAUUGGAAACUGGGAGACUUGAGUGCAGGAGAGAAAAGUGGAAUUCCACGUGUAGCGGUGAAAUGCGUAGAGAUGUGGAGGAA